GUUGAGGUGGCAGAGCCUGGUAAAUGCAAAAGACCUAAGUUCUUUAAUUCAGAGGUUCAAAUCCUCUCCUCAAUU
rnacentral:tRNA from 1 species